CGUGAAGCUGUGCUCUCCAUCCAGCAUCCACUGCUCCCACAGGUGACGCAAUACUGCCUUAAAGCUGCGGUUCACAGAGAUGUCAAGUGGCUGGAGUAUUUUAGUUAAGCCUCCAGGGAUGAUGGCAGACACACGGCAGGACUGGAGUGAGAGAAGAGGCCAGCUACAGAGGAGGAACCAGGGUGGAGAAGAUAAUCAAACACUGGCUGCAGUUUUCAUUUCAAACAAACAGGAGCUGAUUUUACUUCUUUAAUCAAUUGUCCCUUUGUGCUGUAAGUGCUCGACUGCAGUGAAAAUGAGGGUCACCUUCAGUGUACUUCAAAGUGAAAAUAAAGUUUGAUUGAUUGAUUUGUUGGAAUGAAAACAUGCAGCAACACCGGCCUUUUGCGGAUACGACUGGACAUCCCUGAUCUACUGCCACCAAAUCACAGCUGCUAUAUUUCCCAUAAUGCACGACUUUUCUUACGAGCUGAGCAGGCAGACUUCUGCUGAUUGCCAAUGAGUCCAGUUCACUAAGGACGCCUUCAUGCUUGCCCAGAAUACCACAACAAGGACCAAUUCUGGGCUCGUUUGGGGGAGGAGCUCAUUACUACUGGUUUGCUUUAACACACAGGAAGCUUCCACACAAUCAGCGGACUGCACCACAGACCACUAAUUACAGGAGGACCAGAGAUCGAUUCUCUGUUCUUGUCCUGGACUCCGAACAGCUCUCAUACUCAACCAAAUGUACUGAACUCAGAGUAAACAGACCUGGGUAAGGAAAAAAAACUCUUGACUUGAUAAUUAUAACUGUAUUCUUAAUGAUCUUCCUGCAAAUACCCUCACUGUUUCUAUAUUUGUUUCUGUAUCCUUGUGAUAAUUUUAGAGUUAUCUAAAUAGCCCUACUCAUUUGUCCAUUACUGAGAGUCAGUACUUUUGACUGGAGUAAUUCCAUACGUGGUAUAGUCUAAUAAACUAGGAACAUGCAUUAUUAUUCUAGCAAAAAUAGUAAUAAUUAUAAGUUGUCAACAUGUACAUCCACUUUAUUAAAGUUGAAUAGUGCUAAAAAAAUAAAACACACAAUGAAAUCAACAGCAUAUGCAGUUACAUGAUGAUUGGUUAAAACCAUAAAACAAGUGCAAAAAAAAAUACUCAGAAGUAUAAAAGUUACAUGACAAACAUUCUAAUUAAUGUCACAUUUGAAUUCACAGUCACCUGAGGCGUCCACUUUACUGACCACAUGAGCUACAGAGUAACUUGUGUUAGAGGAUACAGUCCAGAUGAGCUGACUGUGCUGCAUUUUGUGAUAUUUUUGUUGAUGUUCUUCCAAUUUCUCUUUGCAGAACCAGCUUCGGCUCUGAUUUGUGCGUUCUAAGCGUUCUGUUGCACUACGAUUGGUAUUAUUGGAUUUAUCUGUAGACAGGCACUGAUGCAGAGUUGGGCGGCAUGGUGGCGUGGUGGGUAGCACUGUUGCCUCCCAGUGAGGGGGGCCUGGGUUCGAUUCGCCGGCCGGGUGACCGGGGUCCUCUCUGUGUGGAGUUUGCAUGUUCUCCACGUGUCUGCGUUUCCUCCGGGUUUGCUGGUUUCCUACCACAGUCCAAAGACAUGCAGUCAGGCCAAUUGGACAUGCUAAAUUGCCCCUAGGUGUGAGUGUCUGUCUGUCUGCCCUGCAAUGGACUGGUGACUUGUCCAGGGUGUAUCCUGCCUUCCACCCGAUGACUGCUGGGAUAGGCUCCAGUGACCCUGAGGGAGAAGCAGCUUGGAAAAUGGACGGAUGAUGCAGAGUCCAGCAUUUUGCCUUGUUAAUCACCUCAUUCAACUUGUCAUCUAAGUAACAAGGCCUUCGUUAGCUAAUCCUGGACCCUCUUUACACCAGCAGCUAGUUGCACCAGCUGAAUGUAAGUUCAGUCAUAGCCUAGUUUGAAAGUAAACUAGCUAGUACAAUUGAACUGGCUGCACCAAGUAACAUAGUUUCAACGUAACUUUAAGUUAACGUAAAAUUUACACAUAGUGCAAGUUCUGCUGGUUUUGAUCGAAGGCAAAACUAGCAAGAAAACGAACUAUGUCUUGAUUUGUGUCGGCAAUAAGAGCAACUCCUACAGUAAUCAGAUGUAAUUACCAUAACUAGCAUUACCGUUCUUUGGCUUGUAACAACAGCAGAACGCUUUUUGGUGCCAUAUAGAA